CCUACGGGGGGCAGCAGCCGCGGUAAUACGUAGGUGGCAAGCGUUGUCCGGAUUUACUGGGUGUAAAGGGCGUGCAGCCGGAGAGACAAGUCAGAUGUGAAAUCCGCAGGCUCAACCUGCGAACUGCAUUUGAAACUGUUUCCCUUGAGUAUCGGAGAGGUCAUCGGAAUUCCUAGUGUAGCGGUGAAAUGCGUAGAUAUUAGGAAGAACACCAGUGGCGAAGGCGGAUGACUGGACGACAACUGACGGUGAGGCGCGAAAGCGUGGGGAGCAAACAGGAUUAGAAACCCGUGUAGUCCCAGAUC
rnacentral:rRNA from 1 species